rnacentral:rRNA from 1 species
UACACACCGCCCGUCACACCACGGGAGGUCGAGUUGGUCCCGAAGUGCGUGAGCUAACCCGCAAGGGAGGCGAGCGUCCUAAGGAAUGGUCGGUGACUGGGGUG